rnacentral:tRNA from 1 species
GGAGAGGUGUCCGAGUUGGCCGAAGGAGCACGACUGGAAAUCGUGUGCAGGGUUAAUAGCUCUGCCGAGGGUUCGAAUCCCUCCCUCUCCGCCA